AUUGAACGCUGGCGGCAGGCCUAACACAUGCAAGUCGAACGAGUGGCGGACGGGUGAGUAAUGUCUGGGAAACUGCCUGAUGGAGGGGGAUAACUACUGGAAACGGUAGCUAAUACCGCAUACCAUCGGAUGUGCCCAGAUGGGAUUAGCUUGUUGGUGGGGUAACGGCUCACCAAGGCGACGAUCCCUAGCUGGUCUGAGAGGAUGACCAGCCACACUGGAACUGAGACACGGUCCAGACUCCUACGGGAGGCAGAAGUGGGGAAUAUUGCACAAGUGGCGCAAUCCUGAUGCAGCCAUGCCGCGGGUAUGAAGAAGGCCUUCGGGUUUUAAAGUAUUUUCAGCGGGGAGGCGUUACCCGAAGAAGAAGCACCGGCUAACUCCGUGCCAGCAGCCGCGGUAAUAC
rnacentral:rRNA from 1 species